rnacentral:tRNA from 1 species
UGCGGGGUGGUGUAAUGGUAGCACAGCGGACUCUGAAUCCGUGAAUCUUGGUUCGAAUCCAAGCCCCGCAGCCA